rnacentral:rRNA from 1 species
UGCGUAGGUGGUUUCUUAAGUCAGAGGUGAAAGGCUACGGCUCAACCGUAGUAAGCCUUUGAAACUGGGAAACUUGAGUGCAGGAGAGGAGAGUGGAAUUCCUAGUGUAGCGGUGAAAUGCGUAGAUAUUAGGAGGAACACCAGUUGCGAAGGCGGCUCUCUGGACUGUAACUGACACUGAGGCACGGAAGCGUGGGGAGCAAACA